rnacentral:pre_miRNA from 1 species
GGCACAAACCUGAAGUAGAGUACUCUAGUAGGGUCGGACGAUCUUACUAACCUAGUUUACUUCGAAUUUGGGCCC